rnacentral:lncRNA from 1 species
GUGUAUAACAGUACAGGAUACCAACAGGUGUAUAACAGUACAGGAUACAACAGGUGUAUAACAGGAUACAACAGGUGUAUAACAGGAUACCAACAGGUGUAUAACAGUACAGGAUACAACAGGUGUAUAACAGGAUACAACAGGUGUAUAACAGGAUACAACAGGUGUAUAACAGGAUACAACAGGUGUAUAACAGGAUACAACAGGUGUAUAACAGUACAGGAUACAACAGGUGUAUAACAGUACAGGAUACAACAGGUGUAUAACAGGAUACAACAGGUGUAUAACAGUAUACAACAGGUGUAUAACAGGAUACAACAGGUGUAUAACAGGAUACCAACAGGUGUAUAACAGUACAGGAUACCAACAGGUGUAUAACAGUACAGGAUACAACAGGUGUAUAACAGGAUACAACAGGUGUAUAACAGGAUACAACAGGUGUAUAACAGGAUACAACAGGUGUAUAACAGUAUACAACAGGUGUAUAACAGGAUACAACAGGUGUAUAACAGGACACAACAGGUGUAUAACAGUACAGGAUACAACAGGUGUAUAACAGGAUACAACAGGUGUAUAACAGUACAGGAUACAACAGGUGUAUAACAGGAUACAACAGGUG